UCCUUUGUGGCUCAGAUGGUAAAGCGUCUGCCUACAAUGCAGGAGACCCGGGUUCGAUCCCUGGGUCAGGAA
rnacentral:tRNA from 1 species